GAUGAACGCUAGCGGCAGGCUUAAUACAUGCAAGUCGAGGGGCAGCGCAGUGUAGCAAUACAUGGGCGGCGACCGGCAAACGGGUGCGGAACACGUACGCAACCUUCCUUUAAGUGGGGGAUAGCCCAGGGAAACUUGGAUUAAUACCCCGUAAUAUUAUGAAGUGGCAUCACUUUAUACUUAUAGCUCCGGCGCUUAAAGAUGGGCGUGCGACUGAUUAGGUAGUUGGCGGGGUAACGGCCCACCAAGCCUGCGAUCAGUAACUGGUGUGAGAGCACGGCCAGUCGCACGGGCACUGAGACAAGGGCCCGACUCCUACGGGAGGCAGCAGUAAGGAAUAUUGGUCAAUGGACGCAAGUCUGAACCAGCCAUGCCGCGUGGAGGAUGAAGGUCCUCUGGAUUGUAAACUUCUUUUAUUUGGGAAGAAACCCACUGUUUCUACGGUGGUUGACGGUACCAGAUGAAUAAGCACCGGCUAACUCCGUGCCAGCCGCCGCAGUAA
rnacentral:rRNA from 1 species